UCAUAGGCAAAGUUAAAAAGUCAUCAUAACUUCAAUUUACAAAAAUAUAGAACCAAACGCCAUCAAACUUAUAAAUCUAUUUACAAAUUACAUUCCUCGUGCCAACGACCUAAUACCCAAAAAUCAAAUACAGUACCUUCUCCACUGUCAUGAUGUGACCGGCCAUUGGAAACACCAAACGCAUCGGCGAAAAUCAAAUACAUAAUCUUAUCCAAGAAACGCCAUCGGGAGCAACCAUUAGAACCACCGCAACCGUCGCCAUCGGAAGCAGCCAUUAAAACCACUUCAACGACCGCAUUGACGCUGGCAUUGGAACCUCCGCAACCAUCGUUUUCGUUUCUCAAGAUUAGGUGAGUUUGGAGCUAGAGAAAGGAUAGCUUGGUGAGGAUGGGUAGAGACAUUAAAGACGAUAGCAUUUAUGUUCCUGAUGCUUAAACUAUCCUUAGCCUGUUGUUUGGCUACUUCAUUAACGAUAUUAUGAUUAAAUACUAUGUAAUAAUGCUUGGCAUUUAUGUUGGUGCCAAGACUUGGAUUUUCUUUUAUUAUUUCGAUGAUCUAGUAACACUAAAUGUUUUCAAAUGUUUCAUCUGGUUACGGAUGGGCAGAUUUAUAUGA